CAGCCSCCSCGGUAAUUCARAGGGKGCAAGCGUUAAUCGGAAUUACUGGGCGUAAAGCGAGCGUAGGUGGCUUGAUAAGUCAGAUGUGAAAUCCCCGGGCUUAACCUGGGAACUGCAUCUGAAACUGUUAGGCUAGAGUAGGUGAGAGGGAAGUAGAAUUUCAGGUGUAGCGGUGAAAUGCGUAGAGAUCUGAAGGAAUACCGAUGGCGAAGGCAGCUUCCUGGCAUCAUACUGACACUGAGGCUCGAAAGCGUGGGUAGCAAACAGGAUUAGAUACCCUGGUAGUCCACGCCGUAAACGUUGUCUACUAGUCGUUGGGUCCCUUGAGGACUUAGUGACGCAGCUAACGCAAUAAGUAGACCGCCUGGGGAGUACGGCCGCAAGGUUAAAACUCAAAUGAAUUGACGGGGGCCCGCACAAGCGGUGGAGCAUGUGGUUUAAUUCGAUGCAACGCGAAGAACCUUACCUGGUCUUGACAUAUCUAGAAUCCUGCAGAGAUGCGGGAGUGCCUUCGGGAAUUAGAAUACAGGUGCUGCAUGGCUGUCGUCAGCUCGUGUCGUGAGACGUUGGGUUAAGUCCCGCAACGAGCGCAACCCUUGUCCUUAGUUACCAGCGGGUUAAGCCGGGAACUCUAAGGAUACUGCCAGUGACAAACUGGAGGAAGGCGGGGACGACGUCAAGUCAUCAUGGCCCUUACGACCAGGGCUACACACGUGCUACAAUGGUAGGUACAGAGGGCAGCUACACAGCGAUGUGAUGCGAAUCUCAAAAAGCCUAUCGUAGUCCAGAUUGGAGUCUGCAACUCGACUCCAUGAAGUAGGAAUCGCUAGUAAUCGCGGAUCAGAAUGCCGCGGUGAAUACGUUCCCGGGCCUUGUACACACCGCCCGU
rnacentral:rRNA from 1 species